rnacentral:rRNA from 1 species
ACGUCCUUCAUCCUUGGGGAAUAUUAUUCAAUGGGGGCAACCCUGACCUAGCAACGCCGCGUGAAGGAUGAAGGUUUUCGGAUUGUAAACUUCUUUGGCAGGGGACGAUAAUGACGGUACCCUGAGAACAAGCCACGGCUAACUACGUGCCAGCAGCCGCGGUAAUACGUAGGUGGCGAGCGUUGUCCGGAUUUACUGGGUGUAAAGGGCGAGUAGGCGGGAAUGCAAGUCAGAUGUGAAAUACCGAGGCUUAACCUCGGAGCUGCAUUUGAAACUGCAUUUCUUGAGUGAUGGAGAGGCAGGCGGAAUUCCCGGUGUAUCGGUGAAAUGCAUAGAGAUCGGGAGGAACACCAGUGGCGAAGGCGGCCUGCUGGACAUUAACUGACGCUGAGGCGCGAAAGUGUGGGGAGCAAACAGGAUUAGAUACCCUGGUA